AGACAGCAGUCGCCGCGGGAAUACGGAGGGUGCAAGCGUUAAUCGGAAUUACUGGGCGUAAAGCGUGCGUAGGCGGUUUGUUAAGUCUGUUGUGAAAUCCCCGGGCUCAACCUGGGAAUGGCAAUGGAUACUGGCUCGCUAGAGUGUGUCAGAGGAUGGUGGAAUUCCCGGUGUAGCGGUGAAAUGCGUAGAGAUCGGGAGGAACAUCAGUGGCGAAGGCGGCCAUCUGGGACAACACUGACGCUGAGGCACGAAAGCGUGGGGAGCAAACAGGAUUAGAUACCCCAGUAGUCCCUGUCUCUUAUAC
rnacentral:rRNA from 1 species